UACGUAGGUGACAAGCGUUGUCCGGAUUUACUGGGCGUAAAGGGCGCGUAGGCGGCUCGACACGUUCGUUGUGAAAUCGCCCGGCUCAACUGGGCGGGGUCAGCGAAUACGGUCGAGCUUGAGCAAGCUAGGGGGCAAUGGAAUUCCCGGUGUAGUGGUGGAAUGCGUAGAUAUCGGGAGGAACACCAGUGGCGAAGGCGGUUGCCUGGGGCUUUGCUGACGCUGAUGCGCGAAAGCGUGGGGAGCGAUCCGG
rnacentral:rRNA from 1 species